UACGUAGGGUGCAAGCGUUGUCCGGAAUUAUUGGGCGUAAAAGAGCUUGUAGGCGGUUUUGUCGCGUCUGCUGUGAAAUUUCGGGGGCUCAACCCCGAACUUGCAGUGGGUACGGGCAGACUAGAGUGUGGUAGGGGAGACUGGAAUUCCUGGUGUAGCGGUGAAAUGCGCAGAUAUCAGGAGGAACACCGAUGGCGAAGGCAGGUCUCUGGGCCAUAACUGACGCUGAGAAGCGAAAGCGUGGGGAGCGAACGG
rnacentral:rRNA from 1 species